UUUUCCGGUUGAUCCUGCCGGACCUGACUGCUAUCGGAUUGAUACUAAGCCAUGCGAGUCAUUGUAGCAAUACAAGGCAUACGGCUCAGUAACGCGUAGUCAACCUAACCUAUGGACGGGAAUAACCUCGGGAAACUGAGAAUAAUGCCCGAUAGAACAUUAUGCCUGGAAUGGUUUAUGUUCCAAAUGAUUUAUCGCCAUAGGAUGGGACUGCGGCCUAUCAGUUUGUUGGUGAGGUAAUGGCCCACCAAGACUAUUACAGGUACGGGCUCUGAGAGGAGUAGCCCGGAGAUGGGUACUGAGACACGGACCCAGGCCCUAUGGGGCGCAGCAGGCGAGAAAACUUUGCAAUGUGCGAAAGCACGACAAGGUUAAUCCGAGUGAUUUCUGCUAAAGAGAUCUUUUGUUAGUCCUAGAAACACUAACGAAUAAGGGGUGGGCAAGUUCUGGUGUCAGCCGCCGCGGUAAAACCAGCACCUCAAGUGGUCAGGAUGAUUAUUGGGCCUAAAGCAUCCGUAGCCGGCUCUGUAAGUUUUCGGUUAAAUCUGUACGCUCAACGUACAGGCUGCCGGGAAUACUGCAGAACUAGGGAGUGGGAGAGGUAGACGGUACUCGGUAGGAAGUGGUAAAAUGCUUUGAUCUAUCGAUGACCACCUGUGGCGAAGGCGGUCUACCAGAACACGUCCGACGGUGAGGGAUGAAAGCUAGGGGAGCAAACCGGAUUAGAUACCCGGGUAGUCCCAGCUGUAAACUAUGCAAACUCAGUGAUGCAUUGGCUUGUGGCCAAUGCAGUGCUGCAGGGAAGCCGUUAAGUUUGCCGCCUGGGGAGUACGUACGCAAGUAUGAAACUUAAAGGAAUUGGCGGGGGAGCACCACAAGGGGUGAAGCCUGCGGUUCAAUUGGAGUCAACGCCGGAAAGGGC
rnacentral:rRNA from 1 species